rnacentral:rRNA from 1 species
GGAGGGGGCUAGCGUUAUUCGGAAUUAUUGGGCGUAAAGGGCGCGUAGGCGGCCCGGUAAGUCAAAGGUGAAAUCCCUCGGCUCAACUGAGGAACUGCCUUUGAAACUGUCGGGCUUGAGGCCGGGAGGGGGUAGCGGAAUUCCCAGUGUAGCGGUGAAAUGCGUAGAUAUUGGGAGGAACACCGGUGGCGAAGGCGGCUACCUGGACCGGUUCUGACGCUGAUGCGCGAAAGCGUGGGUAGCAAACAGGAUUAGAUACCCUGGUAGUCCACGCUGUAAACGAUGAGUGCUCGGUGUCGCGGGUAUCGACCCCUGCGGUGCCUUAGCUAACGCGUUAAGCACUCCGCCUGGGGAGUACGGUCGCAAGGCUGAA